rnacentral:rRNA from 1 species
ACGGCUCAGUAACACGUGGACAAUCUGCCCUAAAGAGGAGGAUAAUCCCGGGAAACUGGGGGUAAUACUCCAUAGUUUGUGUUUACUGGAAUGUUACGCAAACGAAAGAUCCGUCGCUUUAGGAUGAGUCUGCGGCCGAUUAGGUAGUUGUUGGGGUAACGGCCCAACAAGCCUGUCAUCGGUACGGGUUGUGGGAGCAAGAGCCCGGAGAUGGAUUCUGAGACACGAAUCCAGGCCCUACGGGGCGCAGCAGGCGCGAAAACUUUACCAUGCGGGCAACCGUGAUAAGGAAACCCCGAGUGCCAGCACAGGCUGGCUGUCCACCAGUGUAAAUAACUGGUGAAGAAAGGGCCGGGCAAGACCGGUGCCAGCCGCCGCGGUAAUACCGGCGGCUCGAGUGGUGGCCACUAUUACUGGGCUUAAAGGGUCCGUAGCUUGAUAUGCAAGUCUUUUGAGAAAUCCGCCGGCUUAACUGGUGGGCGUUCAGGGGAAACUGCAUUUCUAGGGACCGGGAGAGGUGAGAGGUACUGCCGGGGUAGGAGUGAAAUCCUGUAAUCCCGGUGGGACCACCUAUGGCGAAGGCAUCUCACCAGAACGGGUCCGACAGUGAGGGACGAAAGCUGGGGGAGCAAACCGGAUUAGAUACCCGGGUAGUCCCAGCUGUAAACGAUGCGCGUUAGGUGUGUCAGUGACCACGUGUCACUGAGGUGCCGAAGGGAAACCGUGAAACGCGCCGCCUGGGGAGUACGGUCGCAAGGCUGAAACUUAAAGGAAUUGGCGGGGGAGCAC